rnacentral:rRNA from 1 species
AGUUGGUGGAGUGAUUUGUCAGGUUAAUUCCGUUAACGAACGAGACCUUAUCCUGCUAAAUAGCGCAGCGUAUCUUCGGAUAUGCAGUCGCUUCUUAGAGGGACUUUGUGUUUUUCAGCGCAAGGAAGUUUGAGGCAAUAACAGGUCU